rnacentral:rRNA from 1 species
AGCUAGUAUGCAGUCGAGCGGGGGAAAGGUAGCUUGCUACCGGACCUAGCGGCGGACGGGUGAGUAAUGCUUAGGAAUCUGCCUAUUAGUGGGGGACAACAUCUCGAAAGGGAUGCUAAUACCGCAUACGUCCUACGGGAGAAAGCAGGGGAUCUUCGGACCUUGCGCUAAUAGAUGAGCCUAAGUCGGAUUAGCUAGUUGGUGGGGUAAAGGCCUACCAAGGCGACGAUCUGUAGCGGGUCUGAGAGGAUGAUCCGCCACACUGGGACUGAGACACGGCCCAGACUCCUACGGGAGGCAGCAGUGGGGAAUAUUGGACAAUGGGGGGAACCCUGAUCCAGCCAUGCCGCGUGUGUGAAGAAGGCCUUAUGGUUGUAAAGCACUUUAAGCGAGGAGGAGGCUACUUUAGUUAAUACCUAGAGAUAGUGGACGUUACUCGCAGAAUAAGCACCGGCUAACUCUGUGCCAGCAGCCGCGGUAAUACAGAGGGUGCGAGCGUUAAUCGGAUUUACUGGGCGUAAAGCGUGCGUAGGCGGCUUAUUAAGUCGGAUGUGAAAUCCCCGAGCUUAACUUGGGAAUUGCAUUCGAUACUGGUGAGCUAGAGUAUGGGAGAGGAUGGUAGAAUUCCAGGUGUAGCGGUGAAAUGCGUAGAGAUCUGGAGGAAUACCGAUGGCGAAGGCAGCCAUCUGGCCUAAUACUGACGCUGAGGUACGAAAGCAUGGGGAGCAAACAGGAUUAGAUACCCUGGUAGUCCAUGCCGUAAUCGAUUUCUACAUAGACGUUGGGGCCUUUGAGGCUUUAGUGGCGCAGCUAACGCGAUCAAGUAGACCGCCUGGGGAGUACGGUCGCAAGACUAAAACUCAAAUGAAUUGACGGGGGCCCGCACAAGCUGGUGGAGCAUGUGGUUUAAUUCGAUGCAACGCGAAGAACCUUACCUGGGCUUGACAUCCUAGAAACUUUCCAGAGAUGGAUUGGUGCCUCAUCGUCGGAAUUUAGAUACAGGUGCUGCAUGGCUGUCGUCAGCUCGUGUCGUGAGAUGUCUGGGUUAAGUCACCGCUACAACUGAGCGCAACCACUUCUCCCUUACUCUAGCUCAGCAUUUCGGAUGGGGAACUUUAAGGAUACUGCCAGUGACAAACUGGGAGGAAGGGGGGGGGACGACGUCGAAGUCAUCAUGGCCCUUACCGGCCAGGGC